AUGCGUUGGGGGAAGGAUAUUC
rnacentral:miRNA from 1 species